rnacentral:rRNA from 1 species
UGGGGAAUAUUGGACAAUGGGGGGAACCCUGAUCCAGCCAUGCCGCGUGUGUGAAGAAGGCCUUAUGGUUGUAAAGCACUUUAAGCGAGGAGGAGGGUACUGGUAUUAAUACUACCAGCUACUGGACGUUACUCGCAGAAUAAGCACCGGCUAACUCUGUGCCAGCAGCCGCGGUAAUACAGAGGGUGCGAGCGGUAAUCGGAUUUACUGGGCGUAUAGCGUGCGUAGGCGGCUAAUUGAGUCGGAUGUGAAAUCCCCGAGCUUAACUUGGGAAUUGCAUUCGAUACUGGUUAGCUAGAGUGUGGGAGAGGAUGGUAGAAUUCCAGGUGUAGCGGUGAAAUGCGUAGAGAUCUGGAGGAAUACCGAUGGCGAAGGCAGCCAUCUGGCCUAACACUGACGCUGAGGUACGAAAGCAUGGGGAGCAAACAGG